rnacentral:rRNA from 1 species
AGUGAACGCUGGCGGUAGGCCUAACACAUGCAAGUCGAACGGCAGCACCGUAAGACUUUGCUCUUACGGGUGGCGAGUGUAGCACGGGUGAGGAAUACAUCGGAAUCUACUUUUUCGUGGGGGAUAACGUAGGGCAACCUACGCCAAUACCGCUUACGAUCUACGGGUGAAAUCAGGGGAUCUUCGGACCUCGCGCGAUUGAAUGCGCCGAUGUCGGCUUAGCUAGUUUGCGGGGUGAAGGCCCACCAAGGCGACGAUUCGUAGCUGGCCUGAGAGGAUGUUCAGCCAGACUGGAAGGGAGACACGGUCCAGAGUCCUACGGAAGGCAGCAGUGGGGAAUAGUGGACAAUGAGCGCAAGCCUGAUCCAGCCAUACCGCGUGGGUGAAGAAGGCCUUCGGGUUGUAGAACCCUGUUGUUGGGAAAUAAAAGCAGCAGGUUAAUACCCCGCUGUUCUGACGGUACCCAAAGAAUAAGCACCGGCUAACUUCGUG